rnacentral:misc_RNA from 1 species
GAUGAAGAACGUAGCGAAAUGCGAUAAGUAAUGCGAAUUGCUGAAUCCGUGAGUCAUCGAAUCUUUGAACGCACAUUGCGCCCUCUGGUAUUCCGGAGGGCAUGCCUGUUCGAGCGUCAUUAUCACCCCUCAAGCCCGGCUUGUUGUUGGAUGCAGCGCUUAUCCCGCUCCUCCCAAAGAUAAUGACGGCGUCUGCGACGACUCCUGUACACUGAGCUUUCGGGCACGUACACGGCUAGAAGUCCAGACCCGGUCGCCGUCCCCCCCGCGGGGACACCCAUUACCACAAGGUUGACCUCGGAUCAGGUAGGAAUACCCGCUGAACUUAAGCAUAUCAAUAAGCGGAGGA